rnacentral:rRNA from 1 species
GUAGUCCAUGCCGUAAACGUUGGGAACUAGAUGUGGGGACCAUUCCACGGUCUCCGUGUCGCAGCUAACGCAUUAAGUUCCCCGCCUGGGGAGUACGGCCGCAAGGCUAAAACUCAAAGGAAUUGACGGGGGCCCGCACAAGCGGCGGAGCAUGCGGAUUAAUUCGAUGCAACGCGAAGAACCUUACCAAGGCUUGACAUAUACCGGAAACAUGCAGAGAUGUGUGCCCCGCAAGGUCGGUAUACAGGUGGUGCAUGGUUGUCGUCAGCUCGUGUCGUGAGAUGUUGGGUUAAGUCCCGCAACGAGCGCAACCCUCGUUCUAUGUUGCCAGCACGUAAUGGUGGGAACUC